CCUCCGGGGGGCAGCAGUGCGGAAUAUUGGUCAAUGGUCGGGAGCCUGAACCCGCCCCUCCUCUUUCUGGCUGAAGGUACAGAGUAUCGUAAACCUCUUUUGUCAGGGAACAAAGGCGGGGACGUGUCCCCGGAUGAGUGUACCUGAAGAAAAAGCAUCGGCUAACUCCGUGCCAGCAGCCGCGGUAAUACGGAGGAUGCGAGCGUUAUCCGGAUUUAUUGGGUUUAAAGGGGGCGCAGGCGGUCUGUUAAGGCAGCGGUCAAAGCCCGGGGCUCAACCCCGGCCCGACGUGGAAAACGGCAGUC
rnacentral:rRNA from 1 species